rnacentral:rRNA from 1 species
AGAGUUUGAUCAUGGCUCAGAAUCAACGCUGGCGGCGCGCUUAACACAUGCAAGUCGAACGAGAAAGGGGAGCAAUCCCUGAGUAAAGUGGCGUACGGGUGAGUAACACGUGGGUAAUCUACCUUUUGGUGGGGAAUAACGCUGGGAAACCGGCGCUAAUACCGCAUAAGCUCGAAAGAGGAAAAGAGAAAUCUGCCGAAAGAGGAGCCCGCGGCUGAUUAGCUAGUUGGUGAGGUAAAGGCUCACCAAGGCAAUGAUCGGUAGCCGGCCUGAGAGGGCACACGGCCACACUGGCACUGAAACACGGGCCAGACUCCUACGGGAGGCAGCAGUGGGGAAUCUUGCACAAUGGGGGAAACCCUGAUGCAGCGACGCCGCGUGAAUGAUGAAGCCCUUCGGGGUGUAAAGUUCUUUCGGCAGGGACGAUAAUGACGGUACCUGAAGAAGAAGCUGCGGCUAACUACGUGCCAGCAGCCGCGGUAAUACGUAGGCAGCGAGCGUUGUUCGGAGUUACUGGGCGUAAAGAGUGCGUAGGCGGUUUUCUAAGUUUGGUGUGAAAUCUCCCGGCUCAACUGGGAGGGUGCGCCGAAGACUGGGAGGCUUGAGUAUGGGAGAGGUAAGCGGAAUUCCUGGUGUAGCGGUGAAAUGCGUAGAUAUCAGGAGGAACACCUGCGGUGUAGACGGCUUACUGGACCAUAACUGACGCUGAGGCACGAAAGCGUGGGUAGCAAACAGGAUUAGAUACCCUAGUAGUCC